CUUCCUUGUGGGUUGGCUGUGGCUCGGAAGUGGCGGCUUCCUGGAGCCUGUGUGUCCAUUCCCAACUUCCUUGCAUCUAGAGCCUGUUUACUAGCAUGUCACUGCCUAUCACACAAUAAGGCUGGUGAAAUUCUAUUGAAAUAAUCCAUGUAAAAUGCUCAGUGGAGUGCACGAUACAAGUCAAUUCACUUCAGAAAGUAUCUACCCCCGUGUCCCCAGCAGCACAUUUCAUCCACACCACGAAGCGAACAGAAAGAGACCUAAAGCUUGGUCUAUGUGCUUCUGCCACUCACGUCUGAGGUGUGAUGAAAGAGCACCUGGUUCCCUUAGAAUCACAGAAGUAAAGAAGUAGUUGGGAUUCAUCAGAGCAUGCUGUGCCAGCUUCUCAGAUGAGUGUAUCCUUGAAUACCCAGUAUCCAGAGCUUCUCUCUGCAUCCCUUUGACUUUUACCAGUAAGGCUCUUUUCCCUUUACUCAGAAUGAGCAUGCCAACCUUUUUCCAUUUUUUUUCCAAGUCUUGCUAGUAACCUUUUGUGGAACCCACCAGCUAACUCUUCUGAGAAGAGAGAAACUAGAGCUGUCUAUUGCAACUCUCUCAUCUUUCUACUCUGGUCUACAAAGGCUUCUGCAAUCCUACUCAACAUUUCUUUUCUCGGUACAUUUUCUCAGUGGAAAACAUUUCUGCCUUCAAUCCAAGACUAAAUUCUCUGCCUGUGUCCCUGGGCUUCUGUGAUGAGUAUUCUCUCUCCCUAGAACUCCCUUUUCUCACUGCCCUUGUAAUGGAACUCAGCUCCAGUCUUGCCUCCUCUAAGUAGGGUGUCUUCUCUUUUUCUGGGCACCAUUACACACUCAGGAACCUCAAAGGAAUGCAAACCCAUGGCAGCGAUUUCAUCUCCCCUAGCAUGUUAGGUUGGUGUCCUCAUUAGAACUAUUAUGCCCUCAAAUGAGGAAGCUUAUCUUAUUUGACAGAUGGAUAUUUGUCUGAAAUUUUCCAUAUUUGUUUUAAUACUUAUUAAAAGUGUGAUAAAUCUUUAUUGAGGAAAGUUCAGAAAACAGAAACCUAUAAGAACAUACAAAUAAUUACUGAUGUCCCACUUCAGAAAUGGUUACUCUUCAGUUGUGUAAAUUUCCCUCUAGUCAUUUUCUUUACCAAAUUUAUAGAAAUAACAUUCCAUUUUACAUUUGUAAAAUGUUUAUAAUUUAUAUCUUUCUUUCCGGCUCAACAUUAUAUUAUAAGCAGUAGUUCACAGCAUUAAAAGGCCUUCAAAUAUAUAAUAUUUAUUCCUAUAACUUAUUUAACCUUUCCAGAAAUGUUUUUUGUUGCUGUUGCAAAUUUCUACAUAUAUAUAAAGUUAUGGUAAAAAAAUUUUUAUAUAUAAAUACUGUCCACAUCUAUUAAGAUUUUUCCCUUAAAUCAGCAUUAUUGGCUCAAAGGUACAUACCUCAUAAAUAUUAUUAAAAAUGUUUAAGAUUCUUAACUAUACUUGGCAAAUUGUUUCCUAGAAGUUAGCACUAACUCGUAUUUUCAUGUGUAUCAUAUGAAAAUGACAAUGUCAGUGUCCACUCAUUAGUAUCAAUGACUAUUUUUGAAAUCUGCUAGUUUGAUUGGAAAAAGUUAGUAUCUGACUUUUAAACUGGCAUUUCCUUGAUAAUAAGUUGAAAAUUUGGCAUUUCCUUAAUAAGUUGAAAAUUUAUCAUUUACAGGUGUUAGUUAUUUGUAUAUCUGCUUUUGGUGAACUGUCUACAUUAGUAUUUUGGGAGGAGGUUUUUUUUUCUGCUGGUGUCUUGGCAAUGAACUCUUUAGGUAUG